GACGAACGCUGGCGGCGUGCUUAACACAUGCAAGUCGAACGGAAAGGCCUGCUUUCCCUUGUGGAUUGCGGGUACUCGAGUGGCGAACGGGUGAGUAACACGUGAGUGAUCUGCCCCCAACUUGGGUAUAAGCCUGGGAAACUGGGUCUAAUUCCCGAUAGGACUGCAGGGUGGUGCCUGUGGUGGAAAACGAUUUUCUAGUGGUUGGGGAUGAGCUCGCGGCCUAUCAGCUUGUUGGUGGGGUAAUGGCCUACCAAGGCGGCGACGGGUAGCCGGCCUGAGAGAGUGGACGGCCACAUUGGGACUGGGAUACGGCCCAGACUCCUACGGGAGGCAGCAGUGGGGAAUAUUGCACAAUGGGCGGAAGCCUGAUGCAGCGACGCCGCGUGGGGGAUGACGGGCUUCGGGUUGUAAACUCCUUUCGACCGCGAGGAAGCCACCUAGUUGGAAGGGUGGUGACGGUAGUGGUAGAAGAAGCACCGGCUAACUACGUG
rnacentral:rRNA from 1 species